GACGAACGCUGGCGGCGUGCUUAACACAUGCAAGUCGAACGGAAAGGCCCUACUUUUCUGGGGUACACGAGUGGCGAACGGGUGAGUAACACGUGGGUGACCUGCCCUUCACUUUGGGAUAACUCCGGGAAACUGGGGCUAAUACCGGAUAGGAGCUCCUCCUGAGUGGUUGGUGGUGGGAUGUUUCGGCGGUGGGGGAUGGACUCGCGGCUUAUCAGCUUGUUGGUGGGGUAGUGGCUUACCAAGGCUGUGACGGGUAGCCGGCCUGAGAGGGUGAACGGCCACAUUGGGACUGAGAUACGGCCCAGACUCCUACGGGAGGCAGCAGUGGGGAAUAUUGCACAAUGGGCGGAAGCCUGAUGCAGCAACGCCGCGUGCGGGAUGACGGCCUUCGGGUUGUAAACUGCUUUCGCCUGUGACGAAGGGUGAGUGACGGUAAUGGGAGAAGAAGCACCGGCUAACUACGUG
rnacentral:rRNA from 1 species